AUCCAGCUGUUGAGUCCAAAAUAAGACGGAACUCGUGUUCUGGAU
rnacentral:hammerhead_ribozyme from 1 species